GUAGGUGGCAAGCGUUGUCCGGAUUUACUGGGUGUAAAGGGCGUGUAGCCGGGAGGGCAAGUCAGAUGUGAAAUCCACGGGCUCAACUCGUGAACUGCAUUUGAAACUACUCUUCUUGAGUAUCGGAGAGGCAAUCGGAAUUCCUAGUGUAGCGGUGAAAUGCGUAGAUAUUAGGAGGAACACCAGUGGCGAAGGCGGAUUGCUGGACGACAACAGACGGUGAGGCGCGAAAGCGUGGGGAGCAAACAGGAUUAAAUACCCUGGUAGUCCACGCUGUAAACGAUGAAUACUAGGUGUGCGGGGACUGACCCCCUGCGUGCCGCAGCUAACGCAAUAAGUAUUCCACCUGGGGAGUACGAUCGCAAGGUUG
rnacentral:rRNA from 1 species